AGUACGCAUGCGCGAAAGUCCGUUGUUUUGUUUUUUUUGUUUGUUUUUUUUCCCCAAUCAUUCGCGAAUUUUAAUUUUUUUAUUUCUUUACAGCUGGGGCCGCUGCAGUCCGAUAGCACGGGCCGCCCCUGGAUCUGUUCACAUUCUUUGCAUACAUUAUCACUAGAAGCUGUAUUGCCUGUUUGAAGAUAUGCUUAUGAAAUAAGUAACUAAAGCAUUUUUUCAAUGACAUUGGGAAAGAAGGCACAUAGCUGCAGUAAUUACUAGUAUGGAAAUGGCUGAAUUAAGUCAAGAAAGAUAAAGCUCUCAGACAGCAGAAUAACCUUCUCCUUUAUGAUGCUUUAGUAUUUGGACACCCCCAAUGUGAUGUCUAACUUGUAUAUGUCAGCUCCGACAACAACAUACCAAAGAGAAAAGAGAAAAUUUUGAGAGAUGGCAAUCUCAGACUUACUAUAUACAAGUCCAGAUUUUCAGCCAUUUAAUCUCAGCAGUAUGGGACUCAAAAAUCUAGGUCCCGAACUUUCAAACUGUUACCCAGACAUUAUUUGUUUUUUCAGUCUGUCUUGCUCCUAAGACGGGAUUGUGUCAGUAUCAUACAGCCUAGACAGAACAAAGCAGGUGGUUUAUUUUUGCAUUAUUUUAUAACAAUUACUUAGAAUAUCUCUGGAAAAACCUGUGGUGCUUUCUUUUUACUGAAUUACUAUGACAUGUCAAAUGUAAGCCAAUAAAAAAGCUGAUCUUUUUUAUUUUAA